UACGGGGGAGCAAGCGUUGUUCGGAUUUACUGGGCGUAAAGGGCGCGUAGGCGGCACCGCAAGUCGACUGUGAAAUCUCCGGGCUUAACCCGGAAAGGUCAGCCGAUACUGCGGGGCUAGAGUGCAGAAGGGGCAACUGGAAUUCUACGGUGUAGCGGUGAAAUGCGUAGAUAUCGAGAGGAACACCUGCGGCGAAGGCGGGUUGCUGGGCUGACACUGACGCUGAUGCGCGAAAGCUAGGGGAGCGAACGGG
rnacentral:rRNA from 1 species